rnacentral:rRNA from 1 species
CGAGCCGACAGAUAAGGAGCUUGCUCCUUUGACGUUAGCGGCGGACGGGUGAGUAACACGUGGGUAACCUACCUAUAAGACUGGAAUAACUUCGGGAAACCGAAGCUAAUGCCGGAUAACAUGUAGAACCGCAUGGUUCUACAGUGAAAGAUGGCUUUGCUAUCACUUAUAGAUGGACCCGCGCCGUAUUAGCUAGUUGGUAAGGUAACGGCUUACCAAGGCAACGAUACGUAGCCGACCUGAGAGGGUGAUCGGCCACACUGGAACUGAGACACGGUCCAGACUCCUACGGGAGGCACAGUAGGGAAUCUUCCGCAAUGGGCGAAAGCCUGACGGAGCAACGCCGCGUGAGUGAUGAAGGUCUUCGGAUCGUAAAGCUCUGUUAUUAGGGAAGAACAAGUGCGUAAGUAACUGUGCGCACCUUGACGGUACCUAAUCAGAAAGCCACGGCUAACUACGUGCCAGCAGCCGCGGUAAUACGUAGGUGGCAAGCGUUAUCCGGAAUUAUUGGGCGUAAAGCGCGCGUAGGCGGUUUCUUAAGUCUGAUGUGAAAGCCCACGGCUCAACCGUGGAGGGUCAUUGGAAACUGGGAGACUUGAGUGCAGAAGAGGAAAGUGGAAUUCCAUGUGUAGCGGUGAAAUGCGCAGAGAUAUGGAGGAACACCAGUGCGAAGGCGACUUUCUGGUCUGUAACUGACGCUGAUGUGCGAAAGCGUGGGGAUCAAACAGGAUUAGAUACCCUGGUAGUCCACGCCGUAAACGAUGAGUGCUAAGUGUUAGGGGGUUUCCGCCCCUUAGUGCUGCAGCUAACGCAUUAAGCACUCCGCCUGGGGAGUACGACCGCAAGGUUGAAACUCAAAGGAAUUGACGGGGACCCGCACAAGCGGUGGAGCAUGUGGUUUAAUUCGAAGCAACGCGAAGAACCUUACCAAAUCUUGACAUCCUUUGACCACUCUGGAGACAGAGCUUUCCCCUUCGGGGGACAAAGUGACAGGUGGUGCAUGGUUGUCGUCAGCUCGUGUCGUGAGAUGUUGGGUUAAGUCCCGCAACGAGCGCAACCCUUAAGCUUAGUUGCCAUCAUUAAGUUGGGCACUCUAAGUUGACUGCCGGUGAC